rnacentral:rRNA from 1 species
UACGAAGGGAGCUAGCGUUGUUCGGAAUCACUGGGCGUAAAGCGCACGUAGGCGGAUGUGUCAGUCAGGGGUGAAAUCCCGGAGCUCAACUUCGGAACUGCCUUUGAUACAGCACGUCUUGAGUCCGGAAGAGGUGGGUGGAAUUCCUAGUGUAGAGGUGAAAUUCGUAGAUAUUAGGAGGAACACCAAUGGCGAAGGCAGCUCGCUGGGACGGUACUGACGCUGAGACGCGAAAGCGUGGGGAGCAAACAGG